AUCCAACAUCAAGAGUGACUCAGCAAUGAGUACAGCAACCGAGCCAGCCAGGCCGCGGUGCUUCCCGCCAGGGGAUGUGAUGCACGAAAGUGUAUAAAAACUUCUGGCCCU
rnacentral:ncRNA from 10 species